GGAUGCAAGCGUUAUCCGGAAUGAUUGGGCGUAAAGCGUCCGCAGGUGGCAGUUCAAGUCUGCUGUCAAAGACCGGGGCUUAACUUCGGAAAGGCAGUGGAAACUGAACAGCUAGAGUAUGGUAGGGGCAGAGGGAAUUCCUGGUGUAGCGGUGAAAUGCGUAGAGAUCAGGAAGAACAUCGGUGGCGAAGGCGCUCUGCUGGACCAUAACUGACACUCAGGGACGAAAGCUAGGGGAGCGAAUGGG
rnacentral:rRNA from 1 species